UACAAGGUAGUUAAAGAAAUAAUGUUAGUUUGUCAUUCUAAUGUUGCUGUUAAGGCCCUUGUGU
rnacentral:tRNA from 1 species